rnacentral:lncRNA from 1 species
UGUUCCUCCCUAAGCUAUGAUAUUGAGGGAGGAAUCCUGAAGGAGAAUUCUAUUCUGUUUCCUUGAAGAAGGCAAUUCGUUUUGGGAGAGGGGAGAGAGUUGCCAAUGCAGGGGAGGUGAUAAGACUUCAUUGGAAUCUUGCUAGUGCCCAUCAGUGCCAUUUUUCUGGUUCAAGAUCCAUUUCAGGCAAUCUGGCAAGAUGGCCGAAUAGGAACAGCUCCAGUCUGCAGCUCCCAGCGAGACCAAUGCAGAAGGCGGGUGAUUUCUGCAUUUCCAACUGAGUUUUGAAGAGUGCUGGGAAUAUUGUAGGUUGUUCUUCUAUUGGAAUUCGUCUGGUGUUUCCCUCAUUAUUAGUCUGAUGAUAAGGGAUUUUGGAGGAAUAUCACAGAGGUAAAGUGCGAUUUUCAUGAUAUCACAUAUCGAAGGUACAUACAAUCAAUAUGAUUUAUGACUGUUGAUGCUGACCUUGAUCACCUGGCAGAAAUAGGGUUUGUCACAUUUCUUCACUUUGAAGUUAA